rnacentral:rRNA from 1 species
UGGCACCUCGAUGUCGGCUCGUCGCAUCCUGGGGCUGGAGUAGGUCCCAAGGGUUGGGCUGUUCGCCCAUUAAAGCGGUACGCGAGCUGGGUUUAGAACGUCGUGAGACAGUUCGGUCCCUAUCCGCUGCGCGCGUAGGAAAUUUGAGAGGAUCUGACCCUAGUACGAGAGGACCGGGUUGGACGAACCUCUGGUGUGUCAGUUGUCCUGCCAAGGGCACCGCUGAUUAGCUACGUUCGGGAUGGAUAACCGCUGAAAGCAUCUAAGCGGGAAGCCGGCCUCAAGAUGAGAUUUCCAUGCCUUCGGGCGAGAGGCUCCCAGCCAGACUACUGGGUUGAUAGGCCGGGUGUGUAAGCGUGGCAACACGUGUAGCUGACCGGUACUAAUAAGCCGAUGAUUUGAUAAU